rnacentral:rRNA from 1 species
CGAAUUGUAGUUUAGAGAAGCAUUUUCGGGGAUAGCUCGGGUGUAGGUCCUUUGGAACGAGGCAUCAGAGAGGGUGAGAAUCCCGUACCGCCCAGAGUCUAUUCCUAUGUGAUAUGCUUUCUACGAGUCGGGUUGUUUGGGAUUGCAGCCCAAAAUGGGUGGUAAAUACCAUCUAAAGCUAAAUAUUGGCGAGAGACCGAUAGCGAACAAGUACCGUGAGGGAAAGAUGAAAAGAACUUUGAAAAGAGAGUUAAACAGUACGUGAAAUUGCCAAAAGGGAAGCGCUUGGAACCAGUGUUGCAACCUGUAAUCAGCCGUUCUUAGAACGGUGCACUUUCAGGAAGCAGGUCAGCAUCAGUUUGACCUGGGUUAAAAAGCUUGGGAAGGUCCUUCGGGACCAGCCCUUGUUAUGGCCUGGGUUGGACUGAGGUCCGCUAAUAGGAUGUUGACAAAAUGGUUUCAAACGACCCGUCUUGAAACACGGACCAAGGAGUCUAACAAAUACGCGAGUAUUCGGGUG